AUUGAACGCUGGCGGCAGGCCUAACACAUGCAAGUCGAACGGUAACAGGAAGCAUCUUGCUGCUUUGCUAGCGACUGACGGACGGGUGAGACAUGUCUAAGAAACUGCCGGAUUGAGGGGAAUAACUACUGAAAACGGUAGCUAAUACCUCAUAACGUCGCAAGACCAAAGAGGGGUACCUUAUUGCCUCUGUCCAUCAUAUGUUCCCAGAUGGGCUUAGCUAGUAGGUGGGGUAACGGCUCACCUAGUCGACGAGCCCUAGCUGGUGUGAGAGGAUGACCAGCCACACUGGAAGUGAGACACGGUCAAGAGUCCUAAGGGAGGCAGCAGUGGGGAAUAUUGGACAAUGGUCGCAAGCAUGAUGCAGCCAUGCCGCGCGUAUGAAGAAGGCGUUCGGGUUGUAAAGUCGGUUCAGCGGGGAGGAAGGGAGUAAAGUUAAUACCUUUGCUCAUUGACGUUAAUCGGAGAAGAAGCACCGGCUAACUACGUG
rnacentral:rRNA from 1 species